rnacentral:rRNA from 1 species
CAGUUUCGACCCUGCCUGUGUCGCUUAACCAAGUUAACACCUUAAGCAUCCCGCCUGGGUAGUACGAGCGCAAGCUUAAAACUCAAAGGAAUUGACGGGGACCCGCACAAGCGGUGGAGCAUGUGGUUUAAUUCGAUAGUAAGCGAGAAACCUUACCAAGGCUUGACAUGAUACUGCAAACCCCCAGAAACGGGGGCUCCUUCGAGGGUGUAUCACAGGUGCUGCAUGGUUGUCGUCAGCUCGUGUCGUGAGAUGUACCGUUAAGUCGGGUAACGAGCGCAACCCUUAUGCUGUGUUAAAUAUUCACAGCAAACUGCCCGCUGAUAGCGGGAGGAAGGCGGGGAUGACGUCAAAUCAGCAUGGCUCUUACGCCUUGGGCUACACACGUGCUACAAUGGCAGGUACAACGGGACGCCAAAUCGCAAGAUGGAGCCAAUCCUUUAAAACCUGCCCCAGUUCGGAUUGAGGUCUGAAAUUCGACCUCAUGAAGCCGGAAUCGCUAGUAAACGCGUAUCAGCUACGGCGCGUUGAAUACGUUCUCGGGUCUUGUACACACCGCCCGUCACGUCAAGGGAAUCUGUAGCACCCAAAUGUCGGCGUAAGCCGGCAAAAGGUGAGACAGGUAACAGGGACGA